rnacentral:rRNA from 1 species
UCCAGAAGUUUUUGAUCAUGGCUCAGGACGAACGCUGGCGGCGUGCCUAAUACAUGCAAGUCGAGCGGACAGAUGGGAGCUUGCUCCCUGAUGUUAGCGGCGGACGGGUGAGUAACACGUGGGUAACCUGCCUGUAAGACUGGGAUAACUCCGGGAAACCGGGGCUAAUACCGGAUGGUUGUUUGAACCGCAUGGUUCAAACAUAAAAGGUGGCUUCGGCUACCACUUACAGAUGGACCCGCGGCGCAUUAGCUAGUUGGUGAGGUAACGGCUCACCAAGGCAACGAUGCGUAGCCGACCUGAGAGGGUGAUCGGCCACACUGGGACUGAGACACGGCCCAGACUCCUACGGGAGGCAGCAGUAGGGAAUCUUCCGCAAUGGACGAAAGUCUGACGGAGCAACGCCGCGUGAGUGAUGAAGGUUUUCGGAUCGUAAAGCUCUGUUGUUAGGGAAGAACAAGUACCGUUCGAAUAGGGCGGUACCUUGACGGUACCUAACCAGAAAGCCACGGCUAACUACGUGCCAGCAGCCGCGGUAAUACGUAGGUGGCAAGCGUUGUCCGGAAUUAUUGGGCGUAAAGGGCUCGCAGGCGGUUUCUUAAGUCUGAUGUGAAAGCCCCCGGCUCAACCGGGGAGGGUCAUUGGAAACUGGGGAACUUGAGUGCAGAAGAGGAGAGUGGAAUUCCACGUGUAGCGGUGAAAUGCGUAGAGAUGUGGAGGAACACCAGUGGCGAAGGCGACUCUCUGGUCUGUAACUGACGCUGAGGAGCGAAAGCGUGGGGAGCGAACAGGAUUAGAUACCCUGGUAGUCCACGCCGUAAACGAUGAGUGCUAAGUGUUAGGGGGUUUCCGCCCCUUAGUGCUGCAGCUAACGCAUAAGCACUCCGCCUGCGAGAUUGCU